rnacentral:rRNA from 1 species
UUGAACGCUGGCGGCAGGCCUAACACAUGCAAGUCGAGCGGAUGAAGGGAGCUUGCUCCUGGAUUCAGCGGCGGACGGGUGAGUAAUGCCUAGGAAUCUGCCUGGUAGUGGGGGAUAACGUCCGGAAACGGGCGCUAAUACCGCAUACGUCCUGAGGGAGAAAGUGGGGGAUCUUCGGACCUCACGCUAUCAGAUGAGCCUAGGUCGGAUUAGCUAGUUGGUGGGGUAAAGGCCUACCAAGGCGACGAUCCGUAACUGGUCUGAGAGGAUGAUCAGUCACACUGGAACUGAGACACGGUCCAGACUCCUACGGGAGGCAGCUGUGGGGAAUAUUGGACAAUGGGCGAAAGCCUGAUCCAGCCAUGCCGCGUGUGUGAAGAAGGUCUUCGGAUUGUAAAGCACUUUAAGUUGGGAGGAAGGGCAGUAAGUUAAUACCUUGCUGUUUUGACGUUACCAACAGAAUAAGCACCGGCUAACUUCGUG